GAUGAACGCUGGCGGCGUGCCUAAUACAUGCAGGUCGAGCUAACGGACGAGAAGCUUGCUUUUCUGAUGUUAGCGGCGGACGGGUGAGUAACACGUGGAUAACCUACCUAUAAGACUGGGAUAACUUCGGGAAACCGGAGCUAAUACCGGAUAAUAUUUUGAACCGCAUGGUUCAAAAGUGAAAGACGGUCUUGCUGUCACUUAUAGAUGGAUCCGCGCUGCAUUAGCUAGUUGGUAAGGUAACGGCUUACCAAGGCAACGAUGCAUAGCCGACCUGAGAGGGUGAUCGGCCACACUGGAACUGAGACACGGUCCAGACUCCUACGGGAGGCAGCAGUAGGGAAUCUUCCGCAAUGGGCGAAAGCCUGACGGAGCAACGCCGCGUGAGUGAUGAAGGUCUUCGGAUCGUAAAACUCUGUUAUUAGGGAAGAACAUAUGUGUAAGUAACUGUGCACAUCUUGACGGUACCUAAUCAGAAAGCCACGGCUAACUACGUG
rnacentral:rRNA from 1 species